AGAAAGAAAAGGAGACAAAGCGAAGGAGUUAAGGAGAGUGAAGAAGAGAGGAGGAGGACGGGGCAGCUGCAGUAAAGGCAGAGGUCUGUAGGUGCGAGCGGAGGAGUGAGGCAAUUUGCCACACCGGUCAUUGAAAUGUCAGUGGGAUACCUCAUCGGUCCUUGUUGGACACGUGGAAGAUAAGGCUUCAAAGAAACUCACCGCAAGAGUCAGAGAGAAAUUACGACAACCUGCAAUAUUCUACAUUGCCCUUGGCCCUAUGACUUGACAGAAGACACGGGUCAUUGAGCGGACCGAAGGGCUGCAGAGAACGCGGCUCCAGAAUGUGCUGCAUUUACAAGGCCAUGGCUAUUCCACAUCAAAGGGAGUGAAGUAAAACAUGAAGCAGAGGCCUAAUUUGAAAACAUGGAAUAUCAAUAGGCACUCGGGGCGGACUCGACAGGGGCAGUUCUGUGAUCUCUGCAGCACAUAUCGUGUCUUUGACUCAUACAGGAAAUGAACUUUGGCGUCGAAGAAAAACGCCUCGUACCAACCAAAGGUCCAACAGUGACACGGCCUCUCUUUCAGGUGUAGACCACAGCUGGGUCAACUCUGUCAUCUGACCUUGGAGUCCAGGUCAUCCUUCCACUUCAGCACGGCGUCGAACGUGGAGGCCCUCGUCACGUCAAACACCACAAGCGCUCCCACCGCCUCCCGGUAAUAGACACGAGUCAUGUUCCCGUAACGCUCCUGUCCUGAGAGCUGCAGCCGGAUCACAGUGUCGCUGUCCCACCUCAGCACCUUCAGGGCGAAGUCCACCCCGAUGGUGGCGCGGUAGUGCUGCGAGUAGAUCUGAUGGACGUAUCUCUUGAUGAUGGACGUCUUGCCCACUCC